GGAGGACAGAAGAGGUUCCCCCCACAAGUGCGGACGGUGAACAUGAUAUACGCAACCCACAUCCCCAAGAGGGAGCAGAAGCAUGCGUUAAGGGACGUAUAUGCGUUGGAGCCAGUCGCCCCAAAGUUCAACCCAUGGUCCUCCUGUCCGAUCACCUUCGAUCGUAGGGACCAUCCCACUAGUAUCCGUCAUGGUGGUUUUGUCGCACUGGUCCUAGACCCAAUCAUCGACGGAUUUCACCUCACUCGAGUCCUUAUGGACGGCGGCAGCAGCCUGAACCUGCUUUAUCAGGACACAGUGUGCAAAAUGGGUAUAGACCCCUCAAGGAUCAAACCCACAAAAACAACCUUCAAAGGCGUCAUACUAGGUGUAGAGGCCCAUUGCACAGGCUCAGUCACACUGGAAGUGGUCUUCGGAUCCCCG
rnacentral:rRNA from 1 species